GGAUGACUCCUGUUCCUGUCAUCUCUAAACUCCUCACAUCUUUACCUGCACAUGAGGAAAAUCACUCCUGUAGAAUGCAGUGGUUCAUCAGAACCUCUGGGGAUGUCCUGUGGAUCCUGUGGAUCCUGUGGGUUGCAGGGUGGGUCCUACCUAGACCAGGCUGAUCCUGGACCAUCCCACAGAUGCUCAAUCAGAUCUGGAUGUGGGGAGUUUGGAACCCAGAUGUUCAGAGGGAGAUGAUGCCACAUCUGGUCCAGCUGAUGGAAGGUCUUGAAGUUCUCUGACUGGCCUGGACUGAAGAUGGUCGUCUCACUGGAUUUAAGGUUCAGAUGUUCAGUAACAAACUCCACCAAUGAGCCAACAGGGAAGCUUUAGGUUUAUUAAAUGUUGCUAUGAAGGUAUCGCUGUUUUUCUUUGUGAAUGCAAUGUGCUCCAACUGAAACUUGAAUUAGAACUUAGAAGUAAAUCCUUCCAUCUGAAAGGAUUUAGUUGCAUUAAUAACCUCAUAACAUUCUAAUUUUUAUUCCAGUCUUGGUUGGAAAUAGAAUCUCUGUAUUGAUUCAGGUAAAAACUGAACUUCACAGCAUGUUGAAGCAAAACAACCAGAUGAAAACUGUGAUGGUGUUGGAUUGUCAGACCGUAAUGUUGCAGCUCAAAGCAGCUUUUCUAUCUCAGUUCAUUCUGACAUUCAGCUAUGAAUCAACACAGCAGAUGGUGAUCCAUGCUGUGGAAGUCUCACAUCUCCUGAUUUAAUGGAGCUGCUUUGCACUUUUUACACUGUUUAUUCACCAACACUUUAUUUAAUCAAAGUCCCAUCUAGUUUUUAAGUUAGUUAGUUUUAAGUUUUUUCUAGUUAAACCAACCUUUUAGGUAAAUGUUCCAGGAUGUUGGGUAGAAUAUACCAUCAGAUCAACCUUUAGGUCUACAUUGGAAGAUUUUAGAGUAGAAUAUUACUCCAAACCAUCCUUUAGGUCUACAUUUAAGGUGGAAUACUCCUUUACACCAAGAUUUUUUGGUCUACAUUGAAAGAUUUUAGGUGGAAUAUUCCUUUGAACGAACUUUUUAAGUUUAUGUUCAAGGAUGUUGGGUGGAAUAUACCAUCAGACCAACCUCCGAGGUCUACAGUAGUGCAUUUUAGGUGGAAUAUACCAUUAAACUCACCUUUUAGAUCUACAUUGGAGGAUUUUAGGUGGGAUUUUCUUCCAAACUGUCUUUUAGUCUACAUUUAAGGAUGUUUAGGAUGGUAUAUUCUUCCAAACCAACUUCUCAGGUCUACAUUUCAGGUGGAAUAUUCCUCCAUACUAACUUUUUUGGUCUACACUGAAGAAUUUUUUCUAAACACUUUAUUUAAUCAAAGUCCCAUCUAGUUUUUAUGAGGAAUGUGAUGUUUUAAUUUCUCUGUGAAUAACUGCAGUCUAAUGUAACAGCUGGAGUUGUAACAUCUGUCCUGAUAUUGAUCAUGAAGUAUUGAUCAGAAUAGUUAUGGUCAGCAGUCAUCCCUGAAGUUUUACAUUAAAAUCUUUACUUGUGUUGUGAACUUUGGUAAGAAGCAGAAACUUUAGCGUUGCCAUGGAUACAUGAGUGUUAAAUUCUGUCCAUGUUUCCGUUUUGGGGAAAGCAGUCCUGCAGAUGAGUUUGUUUUUACUGCCAGCUACCAUUCAGUCUGAGAUUUUAAGAAUCAAUAAAUGUGCAUAAUGUGGAAAUGAACAGAUUUUAUUUUUAUUUAUUUCUACAGCUGCUGGAGAUAAAGUUCCAGAAUGUGGAGGAAUUUAGUCUCACAAUCACAGACGAUAAAUAUUAUCUGAAAGUCGGGUUGUUGUUGUUUAUCAGCACAAUACAAAAAGAUUAAUGUUAGAAAUAUUCCAGUUAAGACUCUAGAAUAUCAUGAUUUAUGUAAAUUUAACUCAAUAAUAUGAAUGUUCAGGUUAAGAUUGUGCAGUUUAUUAUGUAAGUUUAGCUGAUUAAAGUUUAUGACUCUGCACUACAAUAUUAUUUAUUAUUUAAAUUUACAUCAUUGUUAAUAUUUAGGGUCAGACCCUACAGUAUUGAGAUUAAGAAAUAAAAUCUUUUAUAAAAUGUAAAUACACUGAACUAAUUUGGAUAUAUUUGAGACUCUACAAUAUUAUUUGACACAAAUCUAUCUAAAUCCAAAUUUUAAUCAUUUUUACUCCAAACAUUUACUGGACUGAUUUAAAUAUUAAAAUCACUCCUUUCUAAUCCUCUGCUGUACGUUCAAACCUGAGGCCUUAAAUAGAAACACACAAGUCUCUGAUGGAAGGAACUUCUGCAGAGUCCUGGUUCCAGAACAUGAUGGUAGAAUUAUAGACAAACUUUAACAAAAGCUGCCUGAGAGUUUACAGGUUUUUAUGUUAGAUUUCUUCAGUAAUUUAAUGAGUUAUCAGCAAAAAUCAAGUGUUCAUUUGAUCAACUUAAUUUCCUAAAACAUCCAGAAUUGGAGCUCAUAUCUUUGGCAGCUGUAAAGUUUCUGCUCCUUCAAAGUUCACAACACAAUGAAUGAAUUCCUAAAACACUCAAUGCUGCAGAGUGUUUGUGAUGCUGAAGCAGUGACCAGUUUUUCUGUUUCUUCUCUGGAGAUGCACAAUGAGGGACGUCUGCAGCGACUGAGAAAGAGUCUCACCACGUCCUGACAUGAGGAAAAAGACUUCAUUGAAGACUACAAUGAGAAAAACUAUCAGACAGCAGACGGCUGCAUUCAAGGUGAGCUCUGAACAUUUGAUCUGGAACAGGAAUUCAAUAACGGCAGCAUGAGCUUCAUUUCAGUCUGUAGCUGCUGAAUUCAUGGAUGAAUCAUCUGGCACUAGAGAGGAAGACCAUCAAACAUCCACGUCAGCUGAUGGAGGUCCAAGAGUCUCACCCAACAAACAACCUACAGAGUGAAGACCUCAAAUCUGAUUGGACGGCCUCCUAUUCAGCCACAUGCUACAGGAGGAGCCCUAUGAGGACGAGCCGGUCCACCUGAUGGAGGCCAGUCGCUGUGGUUCAAAGCCAACACCGACUACGUGGACUUCUACUGGACCACAUGGAGGCCUUCAAACCGGACCAACAAGUUCAGCGACUCCCCGACUCGUGGGUCUGAGGACGCCGCCGAGCCUCGGCCCAGCCGGCCUCCUGUCUGUGGGUGUUUGAGUGCUGAGAGGUUUGUGGAUGGAUGUGAACGUGUCUGUGUUGAAACAGCAGCUUUUGACUCAGUAUCGCUGCUAAAAACCAAGAGCUCCUUUAUUUGUGACUUCCACAAAAAAAAUGAUGAAAAUAAGUUUGCCAGGGUUCUGACUGAUAACAGAUUAUUAAAUAAUGAAAAUAAUAGUUUAAAUAUUCCUUUAAACAAUCCCUUUAGGUCUACAUUUCCUUUACACUGACUUCUUGGUAUAUGUACAAGUAUUUAGGGUGGAAUAUACCAUUAAGCCCAAUGUUCAAGGGUUCUUCUGGGAAUAUACCAUUAAACCAACCUUUUAGGUAAAUGUUCCAGGAUGUUGGGUAGAAUAUACCAUCAGAUCAACCUUUAGGUCUACAUUGGAAGAUUUUAGAGUAGAAUAUUACUCCAAACCAUCCUUUAGGUCUACAUUUAAGGUGGAAUACUCCUUUACACCAAGAUUUUUUGGUCUACAUUGAAAGAUUUUAGGUGGAAUAUUCCUUUGAACGAACUUUUUAAGUUUAUGUUCAAGGAUGUUGGGUGGAAUAUACCAUCAGACCAACCUCCGAGGUCUACAGUAGUGCAUUUUAGGUGGAAUAUACCAUUAAACUCACCUUUUAGAUCUACAUUGGAGGAUUUUAGGUGGGAUUUUCUUCCAAACUGUCUUUUAGUCUACAUUUAAGGAUGUUUAGGAUGGUAUAUUCUUCCAAACCAACUUCUCAGGUCUACAUUUCAGGUGGAAUAUUCCUCCAUACUAACUUUUUUGGUCUACACUGAAGAAUUUUUUCUAAACCACACUUUCGGGUCUAUAGUUGAGCUUUUAGGUGGAAUAUUCCUUUUAACCAGCCCCUCAGGUCUCUUUGAGGAUUUUGGAUGGAAUACUCGGUUAAA